AGUUGAGAAGGCUCACCAGGAGCUCUGCGUCAUCAUCGACCUUAUCAACACUGUGGAAGCUAAUGAUGCUGUAACAGUCGCUGGCAUGACCAGGCCUAAGCCUGAGGCCCUGUCUGAUCUUGCUGUAUCUGCUGCAACCAAAAACUACAAUGUUACCGGCAAUUGGGUAAAUACUUUUCAUAUCCUUUAUGCUCGGGACAGUGCUGAUACCCAGAAUUCAGAAUCUGCAAUUGUGCCAUUUGAUACUAGAAAGAAAUAGGUUUUCCCUAAUCGUACCAGUUGUGAAAUUUAUCUGCUGCAAAUGUUCAUGAGCAUGCAUUUGUAAAGGAAAAGAAUAAACCAAAUGUAUCUGGUACUCGAGCAUCUGGUCAAUCAGGGAAGGAUGGACCUGGACUUCAUUAAGAUUUCAAGGUCAGUUCCCUUUCAUUUCGUUUUCUAUUUCACCAAAUAAAAACAUGUCAC